rnacentral:pre_miRNA from 1 species
UGGACAGAUUAUUGUAUUCGAUUGUAUUCACGGCGUGAAAUAGGGGAUUACACUGUUUUUAAAACGGAAAGUGAAUCAAUUAACAUAAUAGAUUUCU